rnacentral:rRNA from 1 species
AUUGAACGCUGGCGGCAUGCCUUACACAUGCAAGUCGAAUGGUAACAGGUCUUCGGAUGCUGACGAGUGGCGCACGGGUGAGUAAUAUAUCGGAACGUGCCCGAUCGUGGGGGAUAACGAAGCGAAAGCUUUGCUAAUACCGCAUACGAUCUACGGAUGAAAGCAGGGGACCGCAAGGCCUUGCGCGAACGGAGCGGCCGAUGGCAGAUUAGGUAGUUGGUGGGAUAAAAGCUUACCAAGCCGACGAUCUGUAGCUGGUCUGAGAGGACGACCAGCCACACUGGGACUGAGACACGGCCCAGACUCCUACGGGAGGCAGCAGUGGGGAAUUUUGGACAAUGGGCGAAAGCCUGAUCCAGUCAUGCCGCGUGCAGGAUGAAGGCCUUCGGGUUGUAAACUGCUUUUGUACGGAACGAAAAGACUCUGGUUAAUACCUGGGGUCCAUGACGGUACCGUAAGAAUAAGCACCGGCUAACUACGUG